UUAAUUCCCCUUCUUAACACUUUUUCCUUAGGUGAACCUGCGGAAGGAUCAUUAUUGUAUAACCGAGGUGCGAGGGCUGUCGCUGACCCGAAAGGUCGUGCACGCCCGAGUGCCCUCACACACAUCCAUCUCACCCCUAUGUGCACCACCGCGUGGGUCCCCCUUUGGCUUGUUCGGAGGGGGGCUUACGUUUUCACACAAACUUUGUAUGCAGUGUAGAAUGUAUUUUUUGUUUUUGCGAUCACGCAAUCAAUACAACUUUCAACAACGGAUCUCUUGGCUCUC
rnacentral:misc_RNA from 1 species